rnacentral:siRNA from 1 species
ACCCAUGGUGAGACAACAGAUAG